GGUUGGGUGGCCGAGAGUUUAGGCGGUGGAUUGUAGUCCCACAAACGGAGGUUCGAGUCCUCCCCCAGUCA
rnacentral:tRNA from 1 species